AAUCAACGCUGGCGGCGUGCCUGAGACAUGCAAGUCGAACGAUUAAAGCUCUCUUCGGAGAGUGUAUAGAGUGGCGCACGGGUGAGUAACACGUAAGUAAUCUACCUUUGAGUGGGAAUAACAGGUCGGAAACGGCUGCUAAUACCGCAUAACGCAGCGGCACCGCAAGGUGACAGUUGUUAAAGGAGCAAUCCGCUUAAAGAGGAGCUUGCGGCAGAUUAGCUUGUUGGUAAGGUAACGGCUUACCAAGGCUACGAUCUGUAUCCGAUCUAAGAGGACGGUCGGACACACUGACACUGAAUAACGGGUCAGACUCCUACGGGAGGCAGCAGUCGGGAAUUUUGGGCAAUGGGCGAAAGCCUGACCCAGCAACGCCGCGUGAA
rnacentral:rRNA from 1 species